rnacentral:lncRNA from 1 species
GGGGUUGGAAUAUCAUAAAAGAAGGGAAGUAAUAGGUAAAAGGGGGAAUUGUAAAUUGUAUAGAGCCUUAAGAUGGACAGAGAAUUUUCUCUGAGAAGAUACAUGCUCUGGAAAUUGUGUACUAUUCUGUGCUGUCUUUCAAUUUCUUGUGAAAUUUUUUUCUGGUUUCCUAACAGUUCAACAUACAACACAAUGGUGGGCUCACGCUCCUGAGACAAAAUAGAGAAAAAUACAAAAUAAUUG